rnacentral:rRNA from 1 species
GACGAACGCUGGCGGCGUGCUUAACACAUGCAAGUCGAGCGGUAAGGCCCUUUUGGGGGUACGACGAGCGGCGAACGGGUGGAGUAACACGUGGGUGGACCUGCCCUCCAGCUCUGGGAGUAAGCCUGGGAAACGUGGGUCGUAAUACCGGAUAUGCACUGCUUAUCGCAUGGUGGGUGGUGGAAAGUCCUGUUCUGUAAUGGAUUGGGGC